rnacentral:rRNA from 1 species
GUGCCAGCCGCCGCGGUAAUACGUAGGGUGCAAGCGUUAAUCGGAAUUACUGGGCGUAAAGCGUGCGCAGGCGGCUUUGCAAGACAGAUGUGAAAUCCCCUGGCUCAACCUGGGAACUGCAUUUGUGACUGCAUGGCUAGAGUGCGGCAGAGGGGGAUGGAAUUCCGCGUGUAGCAGUGAAAUGCGUAGAUAUGCGGAGGAACACCGAUGGCGAAGGCAAUCCCCUGGGCCUGCACUGACGCUCAUGCACGAAAGCGUGGGGAGCAAACAGGAUUAGAUACCCUAGUAGUC